rnacentral:rRNA from 1 species
GGUGCGUAACGCGUAUGCAACCUACCUUCUACUGGGGGAUAGCUUUCGGAAACGGAAAUUAACACCCCAUAAUAAUAGUUGAAUCUCCUGAUUUGAUUAUUAAAACUCCGGUGGUAGAAGAUGGGCAUGCGUGACAUUAGCUAGUUGGUAGGGUAACGGCCUACCAAGGCUACGAUGUCUAGGGGUUCUGAGAGGAAGGUCCCCCACACUGGUACUGAGACACGGACCAGACUCCUACGGGAGGCAGCAGUGAGGAAUAUUGGUCAAUGGACGCAAGUCUGAACCAGCCAUGUCGCGUGCAGGAUGACUGCCCUAUGGGUUGUAAACUGCUUUUUUAUGGGAAGAAAAAGGGGUACGUGUACCUCUCUGCCGGUACCAUAAGAAUAAGGAUCGGCUAACUCCGUGCCAGCAGCCGCGGUAAUACGGAGGAUCCAAGCGUUAUCCGGAUUUAUUGGGUUUAAAGGGUGCGUAGGCGGUUUAAUAAGUCAGUGGUGAAAUCUUGCAGCUUAACUGUAAAAUUGCCAUUGAUACUGUUAGACUUGAGUAUAGUUGAGGUGGGCGGAAUGUGUUGUGUAGCGGUGAAAUGCAUAGAUAUAACACAGAACACCAAUUGCGAAGGCAGCUCACUAAGCUAUAACUGACGCUGAGGCACGAAAGCGUGGGUAGCGAACAGGAUUAGAUACCCUGGUAGUCCACGCCGUAAACGAUGAUUACUCGUUGCAGGCGAUAUAGAGUCUGUGACUGAGCGAAAGCAUUAAGUAAUCCACCUGGGGAGUACGUUGGCAACGAUGAAACUCAAAGGAAUUGACGGGGGCCCGCACAAGCGGAGGAACAUGUGGUUUAAUUCGAUGAUACGCGAAGAACCUUACCUAGCCUUGACAUGCAUCUCUAAGUCGGUGAAAGCCGGCGACUAUAGCAAUAUAGAAUUUGCACAGGUGCUGCAUGGCUGUCGUCAGCUCGUGUCGUGAGAUGUUGGGUUAAGUCCCGCAACGAGCGCAACCCCUGUGAACUGUUGCCACCGGCCUUCGGGUCGAGCACUCUGUUCAGACUGCCCUGUGAAACGGGGAGGAAGGUGGGGAUGACGUCAAGUCAGCAUGGCCCUUACGGCUAGGGCUGCACACGUACUACAAUGCUCAGCACAGAAUGAACCGAUACCGCGAGGUGGAGGAAAUCUCAAAAACUGAGCCCAAUUCGGAUUGAAGGCUGCAACUCGCCUUCAUGAAGCCGGAAUCGCUAGUAAUGGCGCAUCAGCUACGGCGCCGUGAAUACGUUCCCGGGCCUUGUACACACCG